UAAACCUUCAACUGUUGAUACCUGAAAUAUGAAUCUUUAUCUUAUUUUUUAAAUCUCUUUAAUUCUGUAAAGUGAAGAGUUAAAUGAAUCAAAUCUUUUUCUCGUUUCUUGGUCUCCUGUCUGCCGCCGGAUCGUUUUCUGCUCUGGAUGGAAACCAGAAGUUUUCUUUAGAGGAACUUCAGAGAAAUGAAUGAAAUCUGAUGACAGGUUAACAGGAAGUUUUCCAACAUGUCGGUUCAUCAAGACACAAAGCAGAAAUGAUCAUUCAUCUCCCUGAAAUGUCAGCUUCAAAGAGUUUCUGCUGGGACAAGAAUCUGAGGGGGUUUUAUGGAUUCUCCACUUUCCCUCAGUUUCAGCUGCUGGAUGUUAAACGGUUAAACGUGUCCAACGUGCUCCGACUGUCUCCUCCUCUCUGGUUCUGGUUCUGGUUCUGAGGCGGGCCGGCCGUCCCAGCAGAAACGUGCAGUUUGUAAUCUGAACAUGGAAAGAGAGGAUUCUGAUCUGAGCAGCAGGAAAAUCCCAGAGAGCAGACGAGAACCGCAGAACCGCAGAACCGCAGAACUGCAGAACCGCAGAACCGCAGAACUGCAGAACCGCAGAACCGCAGAACUGCAGAACCGCAGAACCGCAGAACCGCAGA